AGCCGAAGACCACACCCGGAUCGAGAGUCGGAUUGGUGAUCAGACGAACAUCGCCACCGCCGGGUGCCCAGGUGUCGUAUACGCCACCAAAGAACAUGGCCUUGAAGACCAGGAGCAAACAGCCAACGCCCAAGAGGAUUAGGUGAUAGCCAAUGAUGUUGGUCAUUUGAUUCUUGUCACGCCA
rnacentral:antisense_RNA from 10 species